rnacentral:lncRNA from 1 species
CAUUCUUCGUGCCGGUCUUUGUCAUCUCUGUCGGCUCUCCACCAUCUUCAGUCCCCCGAGUCUCUCUGAGGGGCUCUCCCGUCGGGGCCUCCACCCUGGAGGCCAACCUCAAGAGGAUGCCACGGACCAGGAAGAGUGCGGGGAGGAGAACAGCGGUCUACGAGUUCUCCGAUUGUCAAACUGUCGCUGGGGGUUCCCAUCACCUUA